UACGUAGGGGGCAAGCGUUGUCCGGAUUUAUUGGGCGUAAAGAGCUCGUAGGCGGUUUGGUAAGUCUGGUGUGAAAUCUCCACGCUCAACGUGGAGGGGCCACCCGAUACUGCCAUGUCUGGAGUCCGGUAGAGGAGUGUGGAAUUCCCGGUGUAGCGGUGAAAUGCGCAGAUAUCGGGAGGAACACCCGUAGCGAAGGCGGCACUCUGGGCCGGUACUGACGCUGAGGUGCGAAAGCGUGGGGAGCAAACAGG
rnacentral:rRNA from 1 species